AACGAACGCUGGCGGCAGGCUUAACACAUGCAAGUCGAACGCACCUUUCGGGGUGAGUGGCAGACGGGUGAGUAACGCGUGGGAAUCUACCCUUCUCUACGGGAUAGCUCCGGGAAACUGGAAUUAAUACCGUAUACGUCCUGAGGGAGAAAGAUUUAUCGGGGAAGGAUGAGCCCGCGUUGGAUUAGCUAGUUGGUGGGGUAAAGGCCUACCAAGGCGACGAUCCAUAGCUGGUCUAAGAGGAUGAUCAGCCACAUUGGGACUGAGACACGGCCCAAACUCCUACGGGAGGCAGCAGUGGGGAAUAUUGGACAAUGGGCGCAAGCCUGAUCCAGCCAUGCCGCGUGAGUGAUGAAGGCCCUAGGGUUGUAAAGCUCUUUCAGCGGGGACGAUAAUGACGGUACCCACAGAAGAAGCCCCGGCUAACUUCGUG
rnacentral:rRNA from 1 species